rnacentral:rRNA from 1 species
GAUGAACGCUAGCGGGAGGCCUAACACAUGCAAGACGAGCGGUAUUGUUUCUUCGGAAAUGAGAGAGCGGCGUACGGGUGCGGAACACGUGUGCAACCUGCCUUUAUCUGGGGGAUAGCCUGUCGAAAGGACGAUUAAUACUCCAUAAUAUAUUGAACGGCAUCGUUUAAUAUUGAAAGCUCCGGCGGAUAGAGAUGGGCACGCGCAAGAUUAGCUAGUUGGUGAGGUAACGGCUCACCAAGGCGAUGAUCUUUAGGGGGCCUGAGAGGGUGAUCCCCCACACUGGUACUGAGACACGGACCAGACUCCUACGGGAGGCAGCAGUGAGGAAUAUUGGUCAAUGGGUGCAAGCCUGAACCAGCCAUCCCGCGUGAAGGACGACUGCCCUAUGGGUUGUAAACUUCUUUUGUAUAGGGAUAAACCUACCCUCGUGAGGGUAGCUGAAGGUACUAUACGAAUAAGCACCGGCUAACUCCGUGCCAGCCGCCGCAGUAA